GGGGACGUAGCUCAGUUGGUAGAGCACCUGCUUUGCAAGCAGGGGGUCAUCGGUUCGAGCCCGAUCGUCUCCA
rnacentral:tRNA from 1 species